GCCUUGCUCGAAGCUUGGAGACAGGUGCUGCAUGGCUGUCGUCAGCUCGUGCCGUGAGGUGUUGGAUUAAGUCACCGCAACGAGCGCAACCCUUGUCAGUAGUUGCCAUGCAGGUCGCGCUGGGCACUCUACUGAGACUGCCGGCGAUAAGCCGGAGGAAGGUGGGGAUGACGUCAAGUCAUCAUGGCCAGUAUGUGCAGGGCUACACACGUGCUACAAUGGCGUAUACAGAGGGCAGCGAGACGGCGAUGUUAAGCGAAUCCCAGAAAUUACCCCGUAGUUCGGAUUCCAGUCUGCAACUGGACUGCAUGAAGUUGGAAUGGGUAGUAAUCGCAGGUCAGCAAAACUGCGGUGAAUAGGUUCCCGGGCAUUGUACACACCACUCGUCACACCAUGGGAAUUGGUUGUGCCUGAAGCCGGUGGCCUAACCGAGCACCUAACUGUUUGGUUGGUUUGUAUCAGUUUUGACUUUAGUGGGUAAAUAAAUUCAAAAAAUUACAUUCUCGGCGAAACAGUUAGGUGCUCGGAAGGAGCCGUCUAUGGCAUGGUCGAUGACUGGGGUGAAGUCGUAACAAGGUAACC
rnacentral:rRNA from 1 species